rnacentral:rRNA from 1 species
AGAGUUUGAUCAUGGCUCAGAUUGAACGCUGGCGGCAGGCCUAACACAUGCAAGUCGAGCGGUAGCACAGAGAGCUUGCUCUCGGGUGACGAGCGGCGGACGGGUGAGUAAUGUCUGGGAAACUGCCUGAUGGAGGGGGAUAACUACUGGAAACGGUAGCUAAUACCGCAUAAUGUCGCAAGACCAAAGUGGGGGACCUUCGGGCCUCAUGCCAUCAGAUGUGCCCAGAUGGGAUUAGCUAGUAGGUGGGGUAAUGGCUCACCUAGGCGACGAUCCCUAGCUGGUCUGAGAGGAUGACCAGCCACACUGGAACUGAGACACGGUCCAGACUCCUACGGGAGGCAGCAGUGGGGAAUAUUGCACAAUGGGCGCAAGCCUGAUGCAGCCAUGCCGCGUGUGUGAAGAAGGCCUUCGGGUUGUAAAGCACUUUCAGCGGGGAGGAAGGCGUUAAGGUUAAUAACCUUGGCGAUUGACGUUACCCGCAGAAGAAGCACCGGCUAACUCCGUGCCAGCAGCCGCGGUAAUACGGAGGGUGCAAGCGUUAAUCGGAAUUACUGGGCGUAAAGCGCACGCAGGCGGUCUGUCAAGUCGGAUGUGAAAUCCCCGGGCUCAACCUGGGAACUGCAUUCGAAACUGGCAGGCUAGAGUCUUGUAGAGGGGGGUAGAAUUCCAGGUGUAGCGGUGAAAUGCGUAGAGAUCUGGAGGAAUACCGGUGGCGAAGGCGGCCCCCUGGACAAAGACUGACGCUCAGGUGCGAAAGCGUGGGGAGCAAACAGGAUUAGAUACCCUGGUAGUCCACGCCGUAAACGAUGUCGAUUUGGAGGUUGUGCCCUUGAGGCGUGGCUUCCGGAGCUAACGCGUUAAAUCGACCGCCUGGGGAGUACGGCCGCAAGGUUAAAACUCAAAUGAAUUGACGGGGGCCCGCACAAGCGGUGGAGCAUGUGGUUUAAUUCGAUGCAACGCGAAGAACCUUACCUGGUCUUGACAUCCACAGAACUUAGCAGAGAUGCUUUGGUGCCUUCGGGAACUGUGAGACAGGUGCUGCAUGGCUGUCGUCAGCUCGUGUUGUGAAAUGUUGGGUUAAGUCCCGCAACGAACGCAACCCUUAUCCUUUGUUGCCAGCGGUUAGGCCGGGAACUCAAAGGAGACUGCCAGUGAUAAACUGGAGGAAGGUGGGGAUGACGUCAAGUCAUCAUGGCCCUUACGACCAGGGCUACACACGUGCUACAAUGGCAUAUACAAAGAGAAGCGACCUCGCGAGAGCAAGCGGACCUCAUAAAGUAUGUCGUAGUCCGGAUUGGAGUCUGCAACUCGACUCCAUGAAGUCGGAAUCGCUAGUAAUCGUAGAUCAGAAUGCUACGGUGAAUACGUUCCCGGGCCUUGUACACACCGCCCGUCACACCAUGGGAGUGGGUUGCAAAAGAAGUAGGUAGCUUAACCUUCGGGAGGGCGCUUACCACUUUGUGAUUCAUGACUGGGGUGAAGUCGUAACAAGGUAACCGUAGGGGAACCUGCGGUUGGAUCACCU